rnacentral:tRNA from 1 species
GAGAGAGGUAAGAAACAGUAAGGAUUGCUAAUCCAUACCCCCGUAGUUAAACUCUACGGCUCACUCA